GCAGGUUUAUAAUUGAAUAAAAUUAUAUCCGAACUUCUUAACAAUCAAAGUGGAGAUGAUUCUAUUAUAAGCAGUGUAGAUGAACUCCAAAAGCAACUAAAUGAACAGUACACAAUCUUAGAGAUAAAUGCUCUUUGAAGCUGAUAAAAGUCGUGAAAUUCAGGUUAUGCUAGCUGAACAAAAUGCAAAAUUCAUUGGAGAAACUGCAUCACUUCCACAAAACAACGAUGACCAAAAAAAAAAUUUUUCUCAAAUCGAAAUUAGAUGAAAUGAAGGCUGAUAGACCGAGAGUCCCCAGCAAAUUUUGGGAGUGGAGAGGUAUAACCAAAAUGUGAGUAUGCAGUUUUAUAGCCUUAUGCCUUCUAUUCGAAAGUCUGGCACCUUUAUAUUACGGCUUUAUAUGGUUUUCGGGGGUUAAACAACGCGAGUUUUCCAAUUGAUGUGAGAAGGCUAAGGAAGCAAAAAUUCACAUUCUGAAUAUAAGGAAUGAUGCUCUCUGUCAUUUUCCCUAAGCCUCAAUACCUCAAUCUCGGUGAUACGAUGAAAUCAAGAUAAAAGUUUUUUUUUAACUAACCAUAUCAACUCUCUUCGUGGAGAGUUUUGAGUUCAAAAUAACAAACAAAAAAUUAAACAGAAAAUUCUCCAAAACAAAGCCUUAUAUCUUGAGUUCUAUUAAUCGCAUCGUCAAGAUUGAUGUCUUCAGGCUUAGGGAAAAUGACAGAGCCUCAGUUGCUCUAUUAAAGAAUAUAAAAUAGUGUGAAUUUAGCCUACUUAUAUGAAUUGGAAAACUCACAUUUUUCAACCCCCUGAAAACAAUACAAAGCCUUGAUUUUAAGCUGCCAUACUUUUGAAUUCGUUAUAAGAACGCAUAAGGCUAUAAAACUGCAUAAUCACAUUUUUGUUAUACCUCCACUACCAAAAUUUGCUGUGGGUGGGCUCUUAGACUAUGAGUUCGGUUUUGGACAUAGCGAAAUCCCUGGAAGGUAAAAUGCUGAAAUAAAACGUCUGCAGGCUGAUAUUAUGGGCCUUCGAACUAAGUGUGAUGAAGAGCAUAGAAAAUGCAAACCAGUUUGGCUAAGUUUGAGGCAUUGGAAUUUUUUUAAAAAACUAAAGAGAGAUUCUAAUAUUAAAGUAUCGCAAAUAUUAGAUGUUGCUUAUGUAUAAAAACAGAACUUUUAUGAAUU